rnacentral:lncRNA from 1 species
GCUGGAAUGAACUUUAAACUCUAAGUUUAAAGAGUCAAAAUGAAGCCAAGUUCUAAUUGAAAUAAUUAUUUUAAGAUUUUUAAAAAAAAUUUUGUUCUAGUUUACACCAGAUCUUCAAAGUAACAGAAAAAAGUAAUCAAGACUUAGUUACAUCUUAAUUGUUAUUCUUUUGAUAAUUUUUUAAAUAGAAAAGCCAGUACUGAUUAGAUCAUAAUCAAAAUGCUCCCCAGUGCAGCUGUUCUCAUCCGGGAGAAACUUAACCAACUGUUCAUCACUUUUAUUUUCCUUACAUCUCAUAAGGUACUUUGCAAAAACACGGCAUCUAAUAACAGCUAUUGAGCAUUUUUCCUCAUUUCAUUGCUGAUAUUAGAUCUUUGAAUCUUCCUAGCAUUUCCUUGUGGGCUGUAAUAGCCCUAUUUUUACAGGGAGUUUGGGAUGCACAGGUUAGGUAGCUUGCCCAACUACUGCUAGAUAGUGACAAAAUCAGAACUAGAAUCUAUUUUUCUGAAAGUCUAUAAUCUAGUGUUUCUAUCUUAAGAUGAGUUUUUAAAAAAUGAGCAUAAUGGCUUAUAACCAGGGCAACUGGGGGACCAUUUACAGGGUAGAGAGGAAUUGCCAAAGGCCUCUGAGUGUGAGAAACUUUCUGAGGAUUUCACUUUAAAGUGCUUUUGUUUACUUUGCUUUGGGUUUUUUCCUUUGGGGGGUGGAGUUUUGUUUUGUUUUGUUUUGUUUUUUGGGGGGAAGGUGGCUCUGAGGGACUGAUGAGGCCAAGGCCAGUGUAGAGCUAAGUUAUUGGGAACCUAGCUUUUAAGACCUGAUUCUAAGAAAGAGAAGCAGAGUGACUGUAGAGAUACCCUAUCUUAGAAGCCUGGCUUAGUUCAUGAAAUAAGAAGGGAAACUGAGGUUUAAGCAGAUGUUUUAGCCAAGAAGAACUGUUCAUUUGGGUAGAGAUUCUCUCCUGAUAUAGACCUCUGGAUAACUGACCACAGUGGAUAGGACCUAGUGGAUGGGGCAGGGGUUCUGCAAGUGUUGUCUAAGGACCCUUGAGGGUGGCCCUCCAGGUCUUUCCAGGGGGCCAGCCAGGGUAAAACUAUUUUUUUUUUUUUUUUUGCCUCUGUGACAUAUGGAGGUUCCCAGGCUAGGGGUCGAAUCCGAGCUAGAGCUGUUGGCCUACACCACAGCCACAGCAACGUAGGAUCUGAGCUGCCUCUGUGACCUACACCACAGCUCAUGGCAACGCCAGAUCCUUAACCCACUUCGCGAGGCCAGGGAUCGAACCACAACCUCAUGGUUCCUAGUUGGAUUCGUUUCCGCUGCGCCACCACGGGAACUCCAACUA